GGGGCGUGGCUUGAACCGGCUCGGAAUUCCGGGUAUACCAUUCAACACUACGCAUUGUCCAAUCAGCGGCUGCGAGUCUUGUGCGUAGGCAGAGAUCAUCUUAUCUGUGAAGUGCUCCUCUGAGGAAGUGGCCAAUGGCGUGAAGGGCUGGGCAUGGGGACCUUGUGGCACUAGGAUGCACCGUAUGUUGUUUGGUGUGGUAUUAUUUUUUUCAAUUUAAUUAUUUUAAAUUGUUUGUAACCAAUAAUUGUUUUUGUGUGUAAAACUGCUGAUCUGAAACACAAUUUAAUUCUAUGCAACUUUCUAAUAUAAAAGCAAUUAUAGUCUUUUAA